rnacentral:misc_RNA from 1 species
AAUAGAAAAGCCUCCACUUGAUGGACAACUGCAAGUUUCAACAGCACAAAAUUGUUAACAAAAAAUGAAAUUAAAUGACGACUUCAAACGAAGCUGAAAAGGAAAGUAUUAAGUUGAAGGACAUGAAAAUUCUACCAGUGGUGAUGACUAUUUAUUCUACUCUAACUACUGGCACAGCUGCUCAACCGCUGUCACAAUCUGGGCAGGUUGAACCACAGUCCAUUCCUCCAAUGUCCCAGCAUA